rnacentral:rRNA from 1 species
CCUACGGGUGGCAGCAGUGGGGAAUAUUGCGCAAUGGGCGAAAGCCUGACGCAGCGACGCCGCGUGAGGGAUGAAGGUCUUCGGAUCGUAAACCUCUGUCAGCAGGGGAGAACGGUCACUGUGCUAAUCAGCAGUGAAUUGACGGUACCUGCAAAGGAAGCACCGGCUAACUCCGUGCCAGCCGCCGCGGUAAUACGGAGGAUGCGAGCUUUUUCCGGCUUUUGUGGGGUUGAAGGGGGCGUAGGCGGUCGGUUAAGUCAGCGGUAAACGCGCGGGGCUCAACCCCGGCGAGCCGUGGAAACUGGCUGUCUUGAGAUGUCGAGAGGGAUGCGGAAUGCGCAGUGUAGCGGUGAAAUGCGUAGAUAUUGCGCAGAACUCCGAGUGCGAAGGCAGGAUACCGGCGGCGAUCUGACGCUGAGGCACGAAAGCGUGGGGAUCGAACAGGAUUAGAUACCCGGGUAGUC